rnacentral:lncRNA from 1 species
UGAGGCGAUCAAUCUUAGCCCCCUGACAGCUCCCUCCGAUUGCAUCAAAGAAUUUGUCUCUUUGGGAAAGCAGAGGGAACAGCCGAAAUUCCACAUCCCUUAAAAAGGCCUGAGGGGAGGGGGUGGCAAUAGAGAAAGGUGAUUCUGGGAGAGCCAGGAAACAGAUGGGAAAUGGGGACAGAGGGAAGGCGCUGAGUUGGGUGGAAAGUUUGCCUGGAGAACUCCCACGACUCUGGCCUCCCCUCCCCCUACUGGUUCACUGCAACCCAGCCCUAAGGAGAAGGCUGGUUAGCAGAGAAAUGGCAACUCAGCUGGGAGCUGGAGCUAGAAACUUUGUCAAUGUAACAACCGCGUGGGAGGUGGUGAGUAUUUAAAAAGAAGGGCCCAGAAGUCUGAGUAGAAGGGUGGGGGUGGAGAAGAGAAGGUUGGAAAGGGGGGAGCUGAAGGUGGGGGCUGCAGAGACAGACUGUAGAGCUCUGAGAACAUGGAGAGCUGCUCUGAACUAGGCCAACUGGGCAGAGAGGGUGGUGUGCAAUUCAGCACCAAAGAAAACCAUUUUGCCAUUUGGAGAUGUGGAUAAGGGUAGGCUGGGAAAAAUCCAAACAGUAGCUGUGCAGGAAGGCCUGAGAAAGGAUUCACUCUCUGGUCAGCCCCUUGGGCAUCACUGCAGGUUUUCUAACAGCCCCUCUAGCUGGCUGCAGGACUCAGGGCUUCCCUAGGCAACCCAGGCCAAGACUGUCCCUGAGCAGGAAAUACAACUCUCUAACCCUCGAUGACAGAUUUUAUGGCCAGAUUAGUGAACAACGGAAAACUUGGGUGUUAAAAGGGGCCAAGAGAGCCCUCCUUCUGGGAGACAUCCCUCCCCCACUCCCCUGCAUGCUGAAUGGUAAAGCAAAGAUAUUUUACCCAUGUCUUUGACUGUUUUAGCUGAGCCACCGGAAUCUUGAAAACAGAAGGAUAGGGGACGCUAAGCCAGGUCCUUCUUAUUUACCAUCCCAGCUUCAAACCAAAGCUCUGCUUUUUCAUACUCUAGUUAAAUUCUCUCUCGGCCUGCUUUUCUCUCUGGCUAGCAAAAUAAGCAAUCCACCCCACCCCCAGAGCCAAACAUGGCGUUUCAUCUAGUUACAUCAUUCAGAACAUGUUAUUCAGAGAAGAGGAAGACAGAGAGAAAGAAAGACCCUUGAGCGUUAUUUGAUCCCAAUCAAACUUUGCACGCUCUUCUGCCUUUAAAUUAUAGCCUGA